rfam:Bacillus sp. X1(2014), complete genome.
UUUAUUGUCCAGUUAAGUGUAGCCGAUUCAGAACCGUCAGAAGUCAGCAGAGGUCAUAGUAUUAGUUGGUCUAGAACAACUAAGAAGGAC